CCAGCAAUUCCUCAAAGAAAGGCAAAAUCAUAUAUUACAGAACACGGUUCUGUUGUGCAUGACUGAGGACUGAUGACUUCUAAAUAACUCACAGGCAGAUAUCUCUGCAAGUUUGACCCAACUCAAACUUUUCUAAAUACCUCAAUCUCUUUAUCAGACAUACUAUUAUACUGUU